AGUGAAUAGAUACCCCGGUAGUCCACGCUGUAAACGAUGUCAACUAGCCGUUCGGUCCUAUUUACAGGAUUAGUGGCGCAGCUAACGCAUUAAGUUGACCGCCUGGGGAGUACGGCCGCAAGGUUAAAACUCAAAUAAAUUGACGGGGGCCCGCACAAGCGGUGGAGCAUGUGGUUUAAAUUCGAUGCAACGCGAAGAACCUUACCUACCCUUGACAUCCAGAGAAUCUGUUAGAGAUAGUGGAGUGCCUUCGGGAACUCUGAGACAGGUGCUGCAUGGCUGUCGUCAGCUCGUGUCGUGAGAUGUUGGGUUAAGUCCCGUAACGAGCGCAACCCUUAUCCUUAGUUGCCAGCGGGUUAAGCCGGGAACUCUAGGGAGACUGCCGGUGAUAAACCCGGAGGAAGGUGGGGACGACGUCAAGUCAUCAUGGCCCUUAUGGGUAGGGCUACACACGUGCUACAAUGGCCGGUACAGAGGGCAGCGAACUUGCGAAAGUAAGCAAAUCCCAGAAAGCCGGUCUUAGUCCGGAUUGGAGUCUGCAA
rnacentral:rRNA from 1 species